GGGGAAUUUUCCGCAAUGGGCGAAAGCCUGACGGAGCAACGCCGCGUGGGGGAGGAAGGUCUUUGGAUUGUAAACCUCUUUUCUCAAGGAAGAAGUUCUGACGGUACUUGAGGAAUCAGCCUCGGCUAACUCCGUGCCAGCAGCCGCGGUAAUACGGGGGAGGCAAGCGUUAUCCGGAAUUAUUGGGCGUAAAGCGUCCGCAGGUGGUCAGCCAAGUCUGCUGUCAAAUCAGGUUGCUUAACGACCUAAAGGCGGUGGAAACUGGCAGACUAGAGAGCAGUAGGGGUAGCAGGAAUUCCCAGUGUAGCGGUGAAAUGCGUAGAGAUUGGGAAGAACAUCGGUGGCGAAAGCGUGCUACUGGGCUGUAUCUGACACUCAGGGACGAAAGCUAGGGGAGCGAAAGGGAUUAGAUACCCCUGUAGUC
rnacentral:rRNA from 1 species